AACGAACGCUGGCGGCAGGCUUAACACAUGCAAGUCGAGCGCCCCGCAAGGGGAGCGGCAGACGGGUGAGUAACGCGUGGGAAUCUACCCAUCUCUACGGAAUAACGCAUGGAAACGUGUGCUAAUACCGUAUACGUCCUUCGGGAGAAAGAUUUAUCGGAGAUGGAUGAGCCCGCGUUGGAUUAGCUAGUUGGUGGGGUAAAGGCCUACCAAGGCGGCGAUCCAUAGCUGGUCUGAGAGGAUGAUCAGCCACACCGGGACUGAGACACGGCCCAGACUCCUACGGGAGGCAGCAGUGGGGAAUAUUGGACAAUGGGCGCAAGCCUGAUCCAGCCAUGCCGCGUGAGUGAUGAAGGCCCUAGGGUUGUAAAGCUCUUUCACCGGUGAAGAUAAUGACGGUAACCGGAGAAGAAGCCCCGGCUAACUUCGUGCCAGCCGCCGCAGUAAUAC
rnacentral:rRNA from 1 species